rnacentral:tRNA from 1 species
GCGGUCGUAGUAUAGUGGUUAUUACGCGGCGUUGCCAACGCUGUAACCCGAGUUCGAACGGCUUUUUAAGAAAAAUCCGGGAAAAACAUGGCAAGCAAAACAAAGUUUAGCUCACCUAUGAUUCAUACGGAUUGUUUUGAACCACGAAAAUCUCGGCGACCGCA